rnacentral:pre_miRNA from 13 species
CUGGGGUGAGGUAGUAAGUUGUAUUGUUGUGGGGUAAGGAUUUAAGGCCCCAUUAAGAAGAUAACUAUACGACUUACUACUUUCCCUGG